AUUGAACGCUGGCGGCAGGCCUAACACAUGCAAGUCGAACGAGUGGCGGACGGGUGAGUAAUGUCUGGGAAACUGCCUGCUGGAGGGGGAUAACUACUGGAAACGGUAGCUAAUACCGCAUACCAUCAGAUGUGCCCAGAUGGGAUUAGCUAGUUGGUGGGGUAACGGCUCACCAAGGCGACGAUCCCUAGCUGGUCUGAGCGGAUGACCGGAAACACUGGAACUGAGAGACGGUCCAGACUCCUACGGGAGGCAGCAGUGGGGAAUAUUGCACAAGGGGCGCAAGCCUGAUGCAGCCAUGCCGCGGGUAUGAAGAAGGCCUUCGGGUUGGAAAGUACUUUCAGCGGGGAGGCGGUACCCGAAGAAGAAGCACCGGCUAACUCCGUGCCAGCAGCCGCGGUAAUUC
rnacentral:rRNA from 1 species